UUGUCGGGUAAGUUCCGACCCGCACGAAUGGUGUAACGACUUGAGCGCUGUCUCAACAGGGAGCCGGUGAAAUUGAAGUAUGGGUGAAGAUGCCCAUUACCCGCGACUGGACGGAAAGACCCCGUAGAGCUUGACUGUAGCCUGAUAUUGGAUUUUGGUAACGGAUGCACAGGAUAGGUGGGAGGGCAGGGAAGCGAGAACUCCGGUUUUCGUGGAGCCACUGUUGGGAUACCACUCUUCUGUUACUGAAACUCUAACAUAACGCCGUAAGCCGGCGGAUGGACAGUGUCAGGUGGGCAGUUUGACUGGGGCGGUCGCCUCCGAAAGAGUAACGGAGGCGCCCAAAGGUACCCUCAGAAUGGAUGGAAACCAUUCAAAGAGUGUAAAGGCAAAAGGGUGCCUGACUGCGAGAGUGACAAUUCGAG
rnacentral:rRNA from 1 species